CGAAGAAGCGAACCUGCGAAGGCAAGCGGAUCUCUUAAAGCCGUUCUCAGUUCGGACNGUAGGCUGCAACUCGCCUACACGAAGCUGGAAUCGCUAGUAAUCGCGGAUCAGCACGCCGCGGUGAAUACGUUCCCGGGCCUUGUACACACCGCCCGUCACACCAUGAGAGUCUGUAACACCCAAAGCCGGUGGGAUAACCUUUAUAGGAGUCAGCCGUCUAAGGUAGGACAGAUGAUUAGGGUGAAGUCGUAACAAGGUAUC
rnacentral:rRNA from 1 species